UGCAAGUCGAACGAAGUAGCAAUACUUAGUGGCAGACGGGUGAGUAACAUGUAGGUAUCUGCCCUUUGGCCUGGAAUAACACGAGGAAACUUGUGCUAAUACCGGAUAAGUCUUUACGGAGAAAGCUUUAUGCACCAUUGGAUGAGCCUGCACUUGAUUAGUUUGUUGGUGGGGUAAUGGCCUACCAAGACUGUGAUCAAUAGCUGAUUUGAGAGGAUGAUCAGCCACAUUGGGACUGAGACACGGCCCAAACUCCUACGGGAGGCAGCAGUGGGGAAUCUUGCACAAUGGAGGAAACUCUGAUGCAGCGAUGCCGCGUGAGUGAAGAAGGCCCUUGGGUUGUAAAGCUCUUUCGUCGGGGAAGAAAAUGACUGUACCCGAAUAAGAAGGUCCGGCUAACUUCGUGCCAGCAGCCGCGGUAAUACGAAGGGACCUAGCGUAAUUCGGAUUUACUGGGCUUAAAGAGUUCGUAGGUGGUUGAAAAAGUUGGUGGUGAAAUCCCAGAACUUAACUCUGGAACUGCCAUCAAAACUUUUCAGCUAGAGUAUGAUAAAAGAAAACAAAAUUUCU
rnacentral:rRNA from 1 species